rnacentral:rRNA from 1 species
UACGAGGGGUGCAAGCGUUGUUCGGAAUCACUGGGCGUAAAGGGAGCGUAGGCGGAACUCCAAGUCGAUCGUACAAUGCCAGGGCCCAACCCUGGACCUGCGGUCGAGACUGGUUUUCUUGAGUUAUUUAGAGGCAAGCGGAAUUCCAGGUGUAGCGGUGGAAUGCGUAGAGAUCUGGAAGAACACCAAUGGCGAAGGCAGCUUGCUGGGAAUUAACUGACGCUGAGGCUCGAAAGCGCGGGUAGCAAACAGG